UACGUAGGGUGCAAGCGUUAAUCGGAAUUACUGGGCGUAAAGCGUGCGCAGGCGGUUUUGUAAGUCUGAUGUGAAAUCCCCGGGCUCAACCUGGGAAUUGCAUUGGAGACUGCAAGGCUAGAAUCUGGCAGAGGGGGUAGAAUUCCACGUGUAGCAGUGAAAUGCGUAGAUAUGUGGAGGAACACCGAUGGCGAAGGCAGCCCCCUGGGUCAAGAUUGACGCUCAUG
rnacentral:rRNA from 1 species